rnacentral:pre_miRNA from 1 species
AUCUCUCGUCGCCCCGGCGCAGGCCGGGGCCGCUGGGUUUGGGCCACCCGUCUCGCCAAAUUACGCAACGGCCCCGGCCUGCGCCGGGGCGACGA